rnacentral:rRNA from 1 species
AGUUCAAGAGUACGUGAAACUGCUUAGAGGUUAAACCCGAUGAACCUGAAUAUCCAUUAUGGAAAAUUCAUCACUAAUAAUAUGAUAUUUAUAAUAUUAUAUAAAUAGUGUGCAAUUUUUCCAUAUAAGGACAUUGUAAUCUGUUAAUGUAAUAAAUAUUUAUCAUAAGAUCCAUUACUUAAGUUUAUUCAAAUUAGUUAUUUUCGGAUUUCUAACAUAAAAUAAAUGUUUUGGAUUUGAUAAAUCAUUGACAGAUAUAAUUAUAUAAUGUGCUUAAAUUUUUCGGAAUUUUAUCAAUGGUAGACGAAUCUAAUGAUUUGUUUAUUUAAUUGUAUGCACUAUUAUGAUUAACAAUGCGAUAGAUUCAGGAUACCUUCGGGACCCGUCUUGAAACACGGACCAAGGAGUCUAACAUAUGUGCAAGUCAUUGGGUAUUUUUAAUAAAACCCAAUGGCGUAAUUAACUUAACUGUUAUAUAAUGGGAUUAGUUUAUAUUUUGUUAUGAAAUAUUAAUUCAAUCCCGGGGCGUUCUAUAUAGUUAUGUAUAAUAGUAUUUAUAUUAUUUAUGCCUCUAACUCGAGCGUACCUUGAGCAUAUAUGCUGUGACCCGAAAGAUGGUG